GUGGUCAAUGGCUGAGCAGCACCACAAGACACGUGAGAAUCUUUGCAGCAUAUAUCGACCCUGAGACAUGUGCUUUCGAUCAAACACAGAUGGAUAAGCUCACCCUUAUCCUUGAUCCCACGGAUGAGUUUGUUUGGACGCCGGAAACCUGCAACAUGGUUUACUCGUACUUUCAGGAGCUUGUUGACCACUAUGAGGUAAUGCUUAAUUUCCCAACGUAUUUUUAAUUUAAACACUUGUUUUUACCUAUUAAUGUGUUAUUAUAGUCUAUACUUUGGAAAAACUACAUAGUUAUGUCAAUAUAUUUCAUAAAAAAGAAAAAUUCUGUAUUUAAGUUUUGAAUGUUUGUGAUGCUGU
rnacentral:lncRNA from 1 species